rnacentral:rRNA from 1 species
CCUACGGGAGGCAGCAGUAAGGAAUAUUGGACAAUGGACGCAAGUCUGAUCCAGCCAUGCCGCGUGAAGGAUUAAGGUCCUCUGGAUUGUAAACUUCUUUUAUAUGGGACGAAAAAAGGGCAUUCUUGCUCACUUGACGGUACCAUAUGAAUAAGCACCGGCUAACUCCGUGCCAGCAGCCGCGGUUAAUACGGAGGGUGCAAGCGUUAUCCGGAUUCACUGGGUUUAAAGGGUGCGUAGGCGGGUAGGUAAGUCAGUGGUGAAAUCUCGAAGCUUAACUUCGAAACUGCCAUUGAUACUAUUUAUCUUGAAUAUUGUGGAGGUUUGCGGAAUAUGUCAUGUAGCGGUGAAAUGCUUAGAUAUGACAUAGAACACCUAUUGCGAAGGCAGCAGGCUACACAUAUAUUGACGCUGAGGCACGAAAGCGUGGGGAUCAAACAGGAUUAGAUACCCUGGUAGUCCACGCCCUAAACGAUGAUUACUCGACAUACGCGAUACACUGUGUGUGUCUGAGCGAAAGCAUUAAGUAAUCCACCUGGGAAGUACGUCCGCAAGGAUGAAACUCAAAGGAAUUGACGG